rnacentral:rRNA from 1 species
CCUACGGGUGGCAGCAGUGAGGAAUAUUGGUCAAUGGACGAGAGCCUGAACCAGCCAAGUAGCGUGAAGGAUGACUGCCCUACGGGUUGUAAACUUCUUUUAUAAGGGAAUAAAGUGAUGCACGUGUGCCUUUUUGUAUGUACCUUAUGAAUAAGGAUCGGCUAACUCCGUGCCAGCAGCCGCGGUAAUACGGAGGAUCCGAGCGUUAUCCGGAUUUAUUGGGUUUAAAGGGUGCGUAGGCGGACUGUUAAGUCAGCUGUGAAAAUGUGGGGCUCAACCCUCUCAUUGCAGUUGAAACUGGCAGUCUUGAGUGGGAGAGAAGUAUGCGGAAUGCGUGGUGUAGCGGUGAAAUGCAUAGAUAUCACGAAGAACUCCGAUUGCGAAGGCAGCUUACCGGCCCCCAACUGACGCUGAGGCACGAAGGUGUGGGUAUCGAACAGGAUUAGAUACCCUUGUAGUC